AGAGCGAACGCUGGCGGCAUGCUUAACACAUGCAAGUCGCACGGGCAGGGGAAACCCUGUCAGUGGCGGACGGGUGAGUAACGCGUAGGUAUCUAUCCUUGGGUGGGGGACAACUGUGGGAAACUACAGCUAAUACCGCAUGAUAACUGAGGUUUAAAGGCGCAAGUCGCCUGGGGAGGAGCCUGCGUACGAUUAGCUAGUUGGUGGGGUAAAGGCCUACCAAGGCUGCGAUCGUUAGCUGGUCUGAGAGGAUGAUCAGCCACAUUGGGACUGAGACACGGCCCAAACUCCUACGGGAGGCAGCAGUGGGAAUAUUGGACAAUGGGCGAAAGCCUGAUCCAGCAAUGCCGCGUGUGUGAAGAAGGUCUUCGGAUUGUAAAGCACUUUCGACGGGGACGAUGAUGACGGUACCCGUAGAAGAAGCCCCGGCUAACUUCGUGCCAGCAGCCGC
rnacentral:rRNA from 1 species